CAUGUUAUUAGCCUCUUAAGACUAAGAUUCUAUCUUACGUAUGAUCGGAUGGAUACGACGGACUACAUGUCAUGUUCCUACGUCAAGAGUAGACCUUCUUUCCACCUUGUUGAAGCCUGAUUGUUUAGAUUCAUGUGAAAAAAGUGUUCAUCAUCAUCCAAAAGAACAUUUAUCUGUAAAAAGAAUAAUGUAGUAGUCGGCUCCUGUUAGAUUUUGGACAUUUUUGGGAACUUUUGGAAGCCAUAAUUACAGGAAGUUCGAUAGAGAUAUAAAUCUAACGUUUGUACUUCCAUUUCAGAGUUUACAUGCUUCGAAGAUUCUAAGUAAACCCACUUCUGACUAAAGAAGAUUUUGAAUUAUGCCAUAAAAACUCUCUCUCUCUCUCUCU
rnacentral:lncRNA from 1 species